GGCAAGGUCCUUGAUUUUUCUAAAAGAAACAAGAAAGGGAAAAGAAAAAAUGGAACGGUUGAAUUAUCGAAUCGAUAUAAAGGAAAUACUAUAAUUUUAACGAGAGAUUGCGCCACUCUGUAUACUUUUCGUGACUCUUGUGAAUUUCCGACGAUUCUUCGUACCGCUUGACAAACAACGCCAGUACCUUUGUGUGCCAACGUCUCGACGGAGCCCAAAUAACCUAAAAGGUAUCGUUCCCUUUUCACUUUUGGUGCCGAUGGAUCAAAAUCACUGUAAUCCAUGUCGACCGCAUAAGCCGAGGGGAAGAUACCUUGCCGACCUGUUCUCAGGUUCACACCUUCAAUGCGAUAAGUCGUCGGCCUCUUUUUGAACGUAAAUAGGAUCGCCAAUUUCAAGAUCGAUCUCAUCGUGGUGUCUUGGCACGAAUUUGUGCAAUCCUCGAUGCGUUGCCUCCAAUAGUUCCAGUUGAGUAAACGGUACACCGCCGCUUCCUUCGAAGCGACACGAGAGCAUUACGAUGAAAAUUACAAUGAAAAUUCAAGUUUGCCGUAAAACGAGAAAAAGUCACCUGGUGUACUACUCGGCGAGACAGAGUCCGUGUUCUGUAAUGUGUUACAAGGUAUCGGCGAUACACUUUUUGGCCCAUUUUCUGGCGAGUGAGCAGUGGAAUGGCCACUGUCGGUGGCCAUUCGCUCGCUGUCGGGCGAACUGUCCUCGUGACGGAGCCUUGAAUGACAUUUUCGUAAAACUAAAUGCGGUCGGCUGGAAUUAGAACCAGUUGCUGCGUUCAAUUCGUCUGCCAGAGACGACGAGGACUGCAUAGACGUUUGUCCAAUAGGGAACGAAUGAAACGAAUGACUACCUUCUUCUGAAACAACAACAACAAGAUGCUCGAAGAAAGCGUGAGAACUUUAUAUAUUCUGCUUCUGAAUGUAUAUAAAAAAAAUCAUUGCGUAAUCAUAACGCAUUUGAUACAUAUCAUUGUAUAACUACAAAUAUAACCAAUCGUAACUGCAUGUAAGUCAUGAUCAGAUGUAUGGAUCUCAAACAAGUGGUAUGACGUAAGUUAAAUGUCAUUAUGGAUUUUCUUUCGCUGCGGUCGUCGAUUCUGCGGUUAAAUAUGCGACUUGGAUAUUUAAUUUGGAGCCUCGUUUUUCAAUCUUCAACAAUCCCUCUUCCUUUUACCAACCUUUCUCGAUAAAAGAUGCUGAAGAAAUCAUUUAUUUAUAUCAUUGUCUAUCAUAUUCUUUCUCGCGAGGAAAACACGAGGUAAAUGUAUAAUAAUAAUAAAGCUAUGAUGAACGAGUUUUCCAAUGAGCUAUCGCUUCUACUCUGUCUUACAAUAUACAUAACUUAAGAAGGAUUUGAUUUACUCGAAUUUAAGGGAUUUCCGGUAAUCUUCGACGUCUGCGCUCGGUGCUACCGCUUCCGGGACGAUUCGAGGGCACAUGUUCCGGUGUCGGCCAGGAACUCAAACUCGAACAGGAAUCCCCGACGUCGCUGACUACGCUAUCUCUACCACCGUUACCGGAUCCGGUAGUGCUACCUCCACCAGGACCCGGUCCACCGACGCCUGCUGAUCGACCCCUGCUGCUCAGUCCACCGAACAAGCUAAUGUCACCCAAGGGUAGUUGUGUAGUGAGCUAAGCUACCUUUCACCAUGCCAUUUAAAGUGUGUAGGUUGUACUUCUUUUUUUUUUUCUUUUUGUUUGUUUUGUUCUUGGAAUAUCCGCUACCACUACCAAGUUACACAAGAUCACAAUUGAGAACGGAUCACAAGGUUUGAUUUUAUUUUUUGAAAAGCAUCAAAUAGAAUUUCUUGAACGAAUAAUAAAUAUUUCUUUUUCUUUUCUUAGCAAAUUUAAUUCGAUCGAUAUAUACGAGGUUUUCGAAUUACAUCCGUCAUUAUAGGUUAUGUCGUGCAAUUUGUUCUCAAUGUUUCGACUAUAUAAAGGGAUUUUUACUUCUUCUGUAGAUGCAAGACACACAUGAUAUCGAACUAUCCUAGUUGUUUAAAUACAAUGGUGACGUGCAAAUUUGCCUGAACCAUAAUGCAUUUUUAAAAUGCGUAUAUCGAUAGAUAAAUGAAAAAGUAUCGAUAGCUUUUUUUUAAACGAAAUAGAGAACGUUUGGAAAUAAUUAUAACCUUCUAGAUCUAUGAAAGGAAAUUUGAGAAUGUUUCGUAUUGAUGUUAAAACGGGUACAUACUUCUUGCAUGCAAGUUAUGCUCAAAAAAAUAAAGGCCAAAGAAGAAGUAGGUUAACACUUACGAGGUUACCAACCUAAAGUCGCUAUCAGCUACAAUGGAACAAUUAUGAUCAAGAUCCUCGCUGUCAUCUCCAGAAGUAUGCCCGCUUUGGUUAUCGUGCCGAUGAAUGACCACCACUUCCUCAUCCUCGGAAUCGACAGCAACUCCGUCGCAAGAUCUCUCCACCUCCGCAUCGCUAUCCUGCGACGAGGUCGGCGAAUCGUCUAUCAUCACAUCGUGGACAAGCCUAUUUCGAAUGAUAAUUUGGAAAAUUAAUUAAUUAAUCGUUCAAAACGCAGAAAAAUUUAGGUAGAAAUUUUUUAACCGAGAUCGAUACGUCGUGUUUUGAUACAUCUUCUGUAAAAACGGUUUUAAAAGUCAAGUAUAUCCAAGUUGACAACGAAUUAUCAUAAAAUGUCACUCGUGAUAUAUUGUUGCAGACUUGGAUAUUUAAUUUGAAGCUUCAUUUUUUAAUCUUAUAUAUAAUCAAGAAAUACUUGAAUUCUAUUAACAGUUGCUUGAGAGAUGAAACAGUUUAUAAAUUUAAUUAUUCGUUGUAAUCAAACGAGAACAAAUAAUCGUUUGAAGAUUACAAACAAUUUAUUGUUGCAAAUGGAAGACGAAGGAUUAGAUAAUUAAAAAAUUGGGAUGCAUCCAUGAAUAGCCGUGUGUUUUAUUUGUUGAGCAAGUAAUUAAGACUGACAGAUAAAGUGAAAACGAUUUCACAUACGCGGCAGACUUCAAUCGAUUUUAUUUCGCACCGUUUUAAUGCACAUGUGCAUUCAUAAAUAAAGAAAAUUGUCAUCUA
rnacentral:lncRNA from 1 species